UCUCUGGUGGCUCAGACGGUAAAGCGUCUGCCUACAAUGCAGGAGACCCAGGUUCAAUCCCAGGGUUGGGAU
rfam:TPA: Bos taurus chromosome 2, whole genome shotgun sequence.